AGAGCGAGACUCCUUCUCAAAAGAAAAAAAAAAAAAAGAGGCACUGGGCUGUAGGAGAGUGGUGAAAUUUCUGGACCAAGACAAGGCGGCCACAACCCUCCUGGGGCAACAACCCUCCCGCCGGGCUGGUUUUUUGGAACCUCUGCAAACACUUUCUCCUGGAAUCUUGGAAUCCCAAUCCGUGAGGUUCCUGGGUGUGCUGGCAUCAGGACAGCGGUCCACGAACGGUGUGUUACCCAAAUAUUGACAUCCUGCAGCUAGCCUCAAACAAUCACAGCUACUUUCCAAUUUCAGAGAAAAAAAGGCUAAAAUUGGUAAUCCUGAUGAAAAUCAACAAAAUACACAUGAAGAGACAGCACUGAGAGAUGAAAGGAGACAACCAUGAAUGAGCCACUAGACUAUUUAGCAAAUGCUUCUGAUUUCCCCGAUUAUGCAGCUGCUUUUGGAAAUUGCACUGAUGAAAACAUCCCACUCAAGAUGCACUACCUCCCUGUUAUUUAUGGCAUUAUCUUCCUCGUGGGAUUUCCAGGCAAUGCAGUAGUGAUAUCCACUUACAUUUUCAAAAUGAGACCUUGGAAGAGCAGCACC
rnacentral:lncRNA from 1 species